GUGAGUGCCCCUGCCGGCGGCCUAGGGGAUGACACUAACCCUCCGCGGGGGCGGGGCGGGGACGAGUCUGUGGCUGUCCGUCUCUCCGUCCCUUCCGUCCUCCUCUGCCUGCCCCUUAACCCACCCCUUCUCUCCCCUCUUCCCACUAACGGGUCAGGAGACCAAGGAGAUCAGCUGGGAGCAGAUCCUGGCAUAUGGAGACAUGAACCACGCAGUGGGUGGGAAACGACUGGCUGCCCAGCCUGGGGCUGCCCCAGUACCGCAGCUACUUCAUGGAGUCGCUGGUGGAUGCCCGAAUGUUAGAUCACCUUAACAAGAAGGAACUCCGGGGCCAGCUCAAGAUGGUGGACAGCUUCCACAGGGUGAGUCUACAUUAUGGGAUUAUGUGCCUAAAACGGCUGAACUAUGACCGAAAGGACCUGGAGCGGAGAAGGGAAGAGAGCCAGACCCAGAUCCGAGGUGAGGAGAAGAGGGUGGGCCAGGUGGAGGGGAACGGCAGAGGCAUGGGUGGGAAAGAGAGGCCAGGGAAGAGGAAGACCUGAGCACUAGGGGAGCGCGGCUGAGGGUCCCUUCCGUUCCCAGACGUCAUGGUGUGGUCCAACGAGCGAGUCAUGGGUUGGGUGUCCGGGCUGGGCCUGAAGGAAUUCGCCACGAAUCUCACGGAGAAAGCGGGGUGCAUGGGGCUCUGCUCGCCCUGGACGAGACCUUCGACUACUCCGACCUGGCCUUGCUCCUGCAGAUCCCCACGCAGAACGCGCAGGUGAGCGGUCCCUGGGCCUGGAGUAGGCCGGGCUCUCCCAGUGGAGAUUGCACACACCAACUUCUCUCCCGCCUCCUUCUCCAGGCCCGGCAACUCCUAGAGAAGGAAUUCAGCAACCUCAUCUCCUUAGGCACAGACAGGCGGCUGGACGAGGGUGGGCUGGGCGCAGAAGCAGCUCGAGCCACCCCUCCUGGCAGCACUUCCGGAAUCCGGGUGGGGUGGGGGUGGGGUGGGGGUGGGGGCUUGGCUGUGCAGACCAGUGCUGAUUGGAGGCCGGGGCAGGGAGGUGCAGGGGAGAGGUGCGACCCCCCCGGAGAGGGCUGGUUCAAAUGAAGGGGGCGGAGUCAGAGCGUGGUUUGGGACCCUCACCCUCUGCCUGCUCCUCUACCCAGGACAGCGCCAAGUCCUUCAGCCGCUCCCCAUCCUGGCGGAAGAUGUUCCGAGAGAAGGACCUCCGAGGCGUAACCCCCGACUCGGCUGAGAUGUUGCCCCCCAACUUUCGUUCGGCUGCAGCAGGAGCCCUGGGCUCACCAGGGCUCCCUCUCCGAAAGCUGCAGCCUGAAGGCCAGACUUCUGGGAGCUCCCGGGCAGACGGCGUUUCGGUCCGGACCUACUCCUGCUAGUGUUGGCCUCCAGGUGACCUCACUCGGAUGGAGGACUCUCCCAGUGGCUGCGCCGUCCCGCCUGCUGCCCAGAGUCUGGGCUUACCCCUAGAGAGCCGGCCAGGAGUUCCAGCCGCGGACUGCACCAUCUGUACAGACAGGGGCCGCGCGCGUCCCCGCCUCCCCAGUGGACUGGGCCUGGACCAAACCAUGUGGACCGAACUGAGGGGGGACAGGAGAGGAAGUAGCUAUCCCGCCCCAAACUCCCGCCUCCCUUUCUCUACUUUGUAAUUUAUUGAUCAGUUUCCAACGGGAGACGGGUACUCUCCACCCGCGGAAAGGGGGCGGGCUUCCCUCCCGGGCCGCAUGCGGGGAAAGGCUGUUCCCUCCCCUUUCUCCUGCCCAGUUGCGGGGCCCAAGUCUUCCUUCUUCCUCGGAAAGGAGGGGAGGGGGGACUCGCUGCUACAAGCCUCGCCCCCUGUGCCACUUGGCCCCGCCCCGCCGAAUCCGGUCGCCAGUCCCCGGGUCAUUUGCAGGCGGGGUCCCCUGUCCCUCCCCGUGUCUCGUGUCCCCGGGGCCUCCCCGUUCCCCGUGCUGUGGCCGUGUCCGUGCCCCAGGGGCAGGGGGCGCAGAUGCGCGCUCCCGGAUCCCCUCCCGGCUCCGGGGUUUGCAUGGGAGAAUCCUCUUUCCACGAUGCCACCGAGCGACGUGGCGUAGGAGGAGGGCGGAUGGUGGGGGAACCCUCGCCCCCGGCUCUCGGUCGGCCUCCUGGCCCCAGGCGUCACCCAGUGAUCACGGGUAAAGAGAACUGUUUCAAAAGCUCCCGUGUCGACUGAUUUUUUGGCUAGGCCCCUACGAAAGCAAAGCACCUCCUCCGGGACACAGGAGCCCAGGCCCCUUGUGUCUCAAUCCAACCCUCCUCCCUGGGAUGUAUGAGUCAGGGUCCCCAGCGCCCCCUUCCCAUUCCCCUGAUACCUGGAGAAUUGGCC
ensembl:lncRNA